UACGUAGGGUGCAAGCGUUAAUCGGAAUUACUGGGCGUAAAGCGUGCGCAGGCGGUGAUGUAGACAGAUGUGAAAUCCCCGGGCUCAACCUGGGAACUGCAUUUGUGACUGCAUCGCUGGAGUACGGCAGAGGGGGAUGGAAUUCCGCGUGUAGCAGUGAAAUGCGUAGAUAUGCGGAGGAACACCGAUGGCGAAGGCAAUCCCCUGGGCCGUACUGACGCUCAUGCACGAAAGCGUGGGGAGCAAACAGG
rnacentral:rRNA from 1 species